AUAUUUUGUAAAAAAAAGAAUGCUCUUUCAGUUUAAUAUCUUGAUACGUCCCCCAUCGGAGGACUACAUAUUAAACCGUUUUUGGAACAGGGAGCUGGAUCAGGAGCUUGCUCCAUCCUCUCCACACAUCGGCCCGGUAUUGCAGCACCUCCGGGAACGGUGCACCACCU
ensembl:snRNA U2 U2 spliceosomal RNA